GAUGAAGAACGUAGCGAAAUGCGAUACGUAAUGUGAAUUGCAGAAUUCAGUGAAUCAUCGAAUCUUUGAACGCAUAUUGCGCUCUCUGGUAUUCCGGAGAGCAUGCUUGUUUGAGUAUCAGUAAACACCUCAACUCCCUUUUCUUUUUUGAAAUUGGAGCUGGACUUGAGUGAUCCCAACGCUUUCUUCCAAGAAAGUGGCGGGUUGCUUGAAAUGCAGGUGCAGCUGAACUUUUCUCUGAGCUAUAAGCAUAUCUAUUUAGUCUGCCUAAAAAACAGAUUAUUACCUUUGCUGCAGCUAACAUAAAGGAGACUAGUUCUUGUGCUGACUGAUGCAGGAUUCACAGAGACAGCUUCGGCUGACUUUGUAAACUCGAUCUCAAAGCAAGUAAGACUACCCGCUGAACUUAAGCAUAUCAAUAAGCGGAGGA
rnacentral:misc_RNA from 1 species